UACGUAGGGUGCGAGCGUUGUCCGGAAUUAUUGGGCGUAAAGGGCUCGUAGGCGGUUUGUCGCGUCGGGAGUGAAAACCCAGGGCUUAACUCUGGGCUUGCUUUCGAUACGGGCAGACUAGAGGUAUGCAGGGGAGAACGGAAUUCCUGGUGUAGCGGUGAAAUGCGCAGAUAUCAGGAGGAACACCGGUGGCGAAGGCGGUUCUCUGGGCCGGCACUGACGCUGAGGUGCGAAAGCGUGGGGAGCAAACAGG
rnacentral:rRNA from 1 species